GACGAACGCCGGCGGCGUGCAUAAUACAUGCAAGUAGAACGCUGAAGGAGGAGCUUGCUUCUCAGGAUGAGUUGCGAACGGGUGAGUAACGAGUAGGUAACCUGCCUGGUAGCGGGGGAUAACUAUUGGAAACGAUAGCUAAUACCGCAUAAGAGUAGAUGUUGCAUGACAUUUGCUUAAAAGGUGCAAUUGCAUCACUACCAGAUGGACCUGCGUUGUAUUAGCUAGUUGGUGGGGUAACGGCUCACCAAGGCGACGAUACAUAGCCGACCUGAGAGGGUGAUCGGCCACACUGGGACUGAGACACGGCCCAGACUCCUACGGGAGGCAGCAGUAGGGAAUCUUCGGCAAUGGACGGAAGUCUGACCGAGCAACGCCGCGUGAGUGAAGAAGGUUUUCGGAUCGUAAAGCUCUGUUGUAAGAGAAGAACGAGUGUGAGAGUGGAAAGUUCACACUGUGACGGUAUCUUACCAGAAAGGGACGGCUAACUACGUGCCAGCAGCCGCGGUAAUACGUAGGUCCCGAGCGUUGUCCGGAUUUAUUGGGCGUAAAGCGAGCGCAGGCGGUUAGAUAAGUCUGAAGUUAAAGGCUGUGGCUUAACCAUAGUACGCUUUGGAAACUGUUUAACUUGAGUGCAAGAGGGGAGAGUGGAAUUCCAUGUGUAGCGGUGAAAUGCGUAGAUAUAUGGAGGAACACCGGUGGCGAAAGCGGCUCUCUGGCUUGUAACUGACGCUGAGGCUCGAAAGCGUGGGGAGCAAACAGG
rnacentral:rRNA from 1 species